rnacentral:lncRNA from 1 species
ACAAUGAUAUCAGUGGAGAUCACAUGGGAGUCAGAACCCUCUUUCCAGCAGUAACAGGUGAGAAAAGACAUGAAGCAGUUGAGGGACCAAGAAAUGCAUCCUCUAGAAACGCAUUCUGUUGCAUGGCUUUUUAAAAUGUUUCAUCCAAAAAAUUCCAGAAGAUAACAUCAAAAAAACCCUUCUAGACAUUGGCUUAGACAAAGACUUCAUGACCAAGAAACCAAAAGCAUAUGCAAUAAAACCAAAGAUAAAUAGGUGGGACUUAACUACACUAAAGAGCUUCUGCCCAGCAAAAGGAACAGUCAGCAGAGUAAACAGACAACGCACAGAGUGGGAGAAAAUCUUCACAAUUUAUACAACUGACAAAGGACUGAUAUCCAGAAUCUACAAGGAACUCAAACAAGUUGGCAAGAAAAAAAUAAAUAAUCCCAUCAAAAAGUGGGCUAAGGACAUGAAUAGACAAUUCUCAAAAGAAGGUACAUAAAUGGCCAACAAACAUGAAAAAAUGCUCAACAUC